rnacentral:rRNA from 1 species
UACAGAGGUGGCAAGCGUUGUUCGGAAUUACUGGGCGUAAAGGGCGCGUAGGCGGCCUUGUCAGUCAGACGUGAAAUCCCCAGGCUUAACCUGGGAACUGCGUCUGAUACUACAAGGCUGGAGUUCGGGAGAGGAAUGUGGAAUUCCCGGUGUAGCAGUGAAAUGCGUAGAGAUCGGGAGGAACAUCUGUGGCGAAGGCGACUGCCUGGACCAGCACUGACACUGAGGCACGAAAGCGUGGGGAGCAAACAGG